CCUACGGGUGGCAGCAGUGGGGGAUAUUGCACAAUGGGGGAAACCCUGAUGCAGCGCCGCCGCGUGAGUGAAGAAGUAUUUCGGUAUGUAAAGCCCUAUCAGCAGGGAAGAAAAUGACGGUACCUGACUAAGAAGCCCCGGCUAACUACGUGCCAGCAGCCGCGGUAAUACGUAGGGGGCAAGCGUUAUCCGGAUUUACUGGGUGUAAAGGGAGCGUAGACGGCUUUCGAAGUCUGGGGUGAAAGCCCGGGGCUCAACCCCGGGACUGCUUUGGAAACUGGGUAACUGGAGUGCAGGAGGGGCAGGCGGAAUUCCUGGUGUAGCGGUGAAAUGCGUAGAUAUCAGGAGGAACACCGGCGGCGAAGGCGGCUUGCUGGACGGAAACUGACGUUGAGGCUCGAAAGCGUGGGGAGCAAACAGGAUUAGAUACCCCAGUAGUC
rnacentral:rRNA from 1 species